ensembl:rRNA 5S_rRNA 5S ribosomal RNA
GCUUACGGCCAUACCACCCUGAGAACGCCCGAUCUCGUCUGAUCUCGGAAGCUAAGCAGGGUCGGGCCUGGUUAGCACUUGGAUGGGAGACCGCCUGGGAAUACCAGGUGCUGUAAGCU